AUUGACAGGACAUUCACUAAAACUGGAAUGACACAGAGAUUGCAGAGCCCCUGCACAAGGAUGACACACAAAUUGGUGAAGCUUCUAUAUUUUUU
rnacentral:snRNA from 1 species